GUUUGCUGCAUUUAUAGGAAAAUUUGUAUAAGAUGUUUUACAGGUGGCAUUUACCCCCGGCAAGAAUAUCAAAAAUGUUCAAGGACAAAUC